GCAUACGGUGGAUGCCUUGGCAGUCAGAGGCGAUGAAAGACGUGGUAGCCUGCGAAAAGCUUCGGGGAGUCGGCAAACAGACUUUGAUCCGGAGAUGUCUGAAUGGGGGAACCCAGCCAUCAUAAGAUGGUUACCUUACACUGAAUACAUAGGUGUAUGGAGCGAACCAGGGGAACUGAAACAUCUAAGUACCCUGAGGAAAAGAAAUCAACCGAGAUUCCCUUAGUAGUGGCGAGCGAACGGGGACCAGCCCUUAAGCUUGCAUUGUGUUAGUGGAAUAGCCUGGGAAGGCUAGCAAUAAAGGGUGAUAGCCCCGUACACGAAAAUACCUUGCAAGUGAAAACGAGUAGAGCGGGACACGUGAUAUCCUGCUUGAAGAUGGGGGGACCAUCCUCCAAGGCUAAAUACUACUGACUGACCGAUAGUGAACUAGUACCGUGAGGGAAAGGCGAAAAGAACCCCUGUGAGGGGAGUGAAAUAGAACCUGAAACCAUAUGCGUACAAGCAGUCGAAGUCGGGCUUCGGCCUGAUGACGGCGUACCUUUUGUAUAAUGGGUCAGCGACUUACAUUCAGUGGCAAGCUUAACCGAGUAGGGAAGGCGCAGGGAAACCGAGUCCGAACAGGGCGAUUUCAGUCGCUGGGUGUAGACCCGAAACCAGGUGAUCUACCCAUGUCCAGGGUGAAGGUAAGGUAACACUUACUGGAGGCCCGGACCCACGCACGUUGAAAAGUGCGGGGAUGAGGUGUGGGUAGCGGAGAAAUUCCAAUCGAACUUGGAGAUAGCUGGUUCUCUCCGAAAUAGCUUUAGGGCUAGCCUCAAGUGAUGAUUAUUGGAGGUAGAGCACUGUUUGGACGAGGGGCCCCUCUCGGGUUACCGAAUUCAGACAAACUCCGAAUGCCAAUUAAUUUAACUUGGGAGUCAGAACAUGGGUGAUAAGGUCCGUGUUCGAAAGGGAAACAGCCCAGACCACCAGCUAAGGUCCC
rnacentral:rRNA from 1 species